UUGAGUUGGUUGUCUUUGGUAGAAAUGUGCAGCAGUGAUUUUCAGUUAUUUUUGUCUCUUCACUCGUCAGGUGUUUUCAUUUUGAGAGAGAGAGAAAAACAGCCCACACAUUUCAUUAAAUUGGUGUAAGAAUCUGUACUAUGGUUGUUCUUGUGGCAAAGAUACCUUGGCUUUAUCAUUAUUAAUUACCCAGAAUCCACAGAGAGCUUCAGUGGGCAGAGCUUUAUGAUGAUGCGAACGACAGAAAGGAGUUCAGAACAUUUCCUCAGAAUCUGCACUCAGCUCUUGUGUUGCUCUGAAUGUCUUUUAUUCAUGAUCUCUCUCAGUCAUAAUGUUGUUCUUUUGUCUCACAGUUCUGGCACUUCUUACAGAGAGUGUUUUUGCGAAUGCAAUAACACCCAUGUCUACUGUAAAUCAUGCUGUAGAAGGAGAAAAGAUGACUCUGUCCUGCAACUACAGUGGAAGUACUAUUAACAGUUUUCAGUGGUACAGACAGCAUCCCAACACUGCUCCAGAGUUUCUCUUGCAAGUUUUUGAAACUCAGGGUCCAGUGAAUAACAGCCAUCAUGUCGCUGAAGCACAAAAGGACAAAAAACAACUGAAUCUGAAUAUCUCCAAAAGUGAAAUAUCAGACUCUGCCAUAUACUACUGUGCUCUGGUGCCCACAGUGACAGGAAACCCUUCUACACUGUACAAAAACCUGACAUACAGUAUGAUGAUCACUUAACAUUAAUCUGAACAACUCCUCUCCUGCAACCAUUCAAAAGACUGAAAUAUAAUCUAAUGUCACAAAACUGUCACAAACUGACAUG